GAUGAAGAACGUAGCGAAAUGCGAAAAGUAAUGUGAAUUGCAGAAUUCAGUGAAUCAUCGAAUCUUUGAACGCACAUUGCGCCCGCUGGUACUCCGGCGGGCACGCCUGUCCGAGCGUCAUUUCAACCCUCAAGCCCUCCUUCGGGAUGGGCCUGGUGUUGGGGCUCGGCCGCCAUCUCCGGCGGCCGUCCCCUAAAUACAGUGGCGGUCACGUCGCGACUCCUUUGCGUAGUAGAAACACCUCGCUCCGGAUAGCAACGCGGUCCACGCCGUAAAACCCCCAAUUUUCAAUGGUUGACCUCGGAUCAGGUGGGAAUACCCGCUGAACUUAAGCAUAUCAAUAAGCGAGGA
rnacentral:misc_RNA from 1 species